GUCUCUGUUGUCUAGUUGUUGAGGCAUUGGCGUUCUAAGCCAUUGACUCAGGUUCGAUUCCCGGUGGAGAUA
rnacentral:tRNA from 1 species